UCUGGCCUAUCUGGUUGUAAUUAACUAUGAAUGGAGGAAUCUCGGUCUGUCUGUGUGUCGAUUUUCCCGACAACGGCUCAUCCGAUCGACGUCACACUUUGUGGGUGUUAUUGCUGCGGACUCAAGGAAGCGCAGUAUCGACUCUUUUCGGAGGCUUUUGGAUGAGCUGUUCUCGAGAAAGCUUCAGCCAUAAUUUUUCUUCACGUUACUUGACGUGAAGAAAAAGGCGGAACUGCACCCGGACAAUUAACAGCCGGCACAUGCCAGGGUUUUAAGACAGGCGGAACGCAACUGCGAUGGCACUUUCUACGCCGUCACCCAGACACUAUCGUAGCGGAGCGGAGCAGUCCACUCCGGAGCUGACGCCAUUACUUUAGCUUUGCUAGGGGACACAACUAUAUCAUGCCAGGUGUAUUGUUCGGGACCCAAGGAAGUGCAGUGUUAAGUGGGAAGGUGUUUGGAUGAUGCUCUCAAGAAAGCUGCGAGAUGGAUUAACACAGGCCAAGCAAUCAACCCCUACCGGAGAGCACAUUUUGAAUGAGCACUGCACUUCCUUGGGUCCUGAGCACUUCCUUGCUCAGGACCCAAGGAACCCCUAACCCUGUAAAUCCUCCGGUUGCCGCAGGGAAGUCAGACGGCAUACUUAGAGAUUUUUCACACUGAAACCCUACCAGGAAAUGGAGGGACUAUGCUCUUUGAGGCACUGGCAGGCUUUUAAUGUGAAACAUCUAUUCAGACUCCACACCAAGCGCAACACGACAAGAUUAAAUGGAGCAGAAACCUCCACUACAGCUACUGUCACUUAAAGAGUGAAAGAUUCAAGAAUAAAAAGGCACUUUUUGGUACAUUCCAUGGACAAAAGCGAAUAAGAAAAAGAAGACCGUAUCUUUGACCGCUAAAUGAACACAGAACACAAGAGAGAGAUUUGAACAGGAAGUUGCAGCUCAGAGAUGAGAAGAAAGGCAGUCAAGCUGAAGGGAAAAGGGGAACUGUUCCAUCAGGCAACACUAGCAAAUAUGUGAUAUGUGCAAAAAUGGCUCUUACAGCAAAUAAACUGCCUGGUCUGAAUGAGAGUGUCUGAUAAAAUGUCAUUGUGUAUUUCCUUCUGAACAGGGCAGAUUAAGAAUCUGAAUAGCUGUGGCUGAAAGGAAUGUUGAACUGCACAAAACAUCAACAAAACAGAGAUCCUCUGGGCUGUUUCUGACACGUUUGUGGAUUAAAAUUACGUCAUUCCAUCUAAACAAGUUUUUUGCCUUUGUUGAUGCUAAAGGCAAAAACUUACUGAUCU